AGGAAUUUCUAUCCAUUUCUAAGAAUUUAUCCUACAGAGAUACUUACACAUAUAAAAAUUUAUUUAUGUUUAAGAUUAUUUCCCAAAGCAAGCUUGUCAAAGGGGAAAAAAAAGGAAACAAUCUAACUACUCAUUAGCCGGGGAUUUAUUACCUAGGACACAUAAUGGGAUAUGAUACAACUAUAAAUGAAGAAUAGACAGUAAAUGAUUACUAAAAUACUCUGUUAAAUUUUAAAAAGCAAAGUGCGAAGUCAUGGAAUGUUAUACAUAAUGCUGUCAUUUGUUUUUAAAGAAAAGAAAUGUUCAUAACCAAUAAAGGCCUUCGACAGAUAAGCCAGAGCAAGCACCAAUGCUUACUUUCUGAGGGAGAUAGGAAUCAGGUUGAUACAGGAUGAGAUGGGAAGGAGAAAUUUCCAAUAAACGCACUUUCACACUUUGUGGCAUUGGAAACACGUGAAGAUAUUUCCUCUUUGAAGAAAAGGGUUUUGGGUUUUGUGGGUUGUUUUUGUUUAUUUAAAUGAAAAGUGCCACCAAACAAUUACCUUUCUUGUGUAUUAAUGCAGCCUAAGGCGCUAUUUCUUUACUCUUCAUCAUUACAUCAUAUUGUGAUCUUGGUAAUACUCGUUCUACUGCUCCUGCAGCCACAACGCCUCACUGCAGAUGCAUUUGGUUCUCCAGUGCUCUACCUUCCCCAGGGAGCAGCAUCUCCCUGUUUCCAGAUAAGAAACAAGAUAGAAGAGUCCAAAGAUAAAUUAAAUAACACUGAGAAGUUCCCUCUAUUGUCUGCAAAUCUCAAACUGUUCAUAAAAAUAAAGUCUCUUUGAAUUUUAUUUAAAAAAACAACUGCAAUCUCCCCAUCCAGAGCAAACAUGGUAAUGUAUUUGGAUCUGUAUUUAGAAAUGUUUUGUCUGUGUAUACAUUUCCUUUUAUAAGAAAAAGGGAUCAAACUAUUUUGGACCAUGUUUUAUUCUUUUUAACAAUAAAUGAUGAACACUGUAAGUAUUGAGAAAUAUU
rnacentral:lncRNA from 12 species